rnacentral:rRNA from 1 species
GACGAACCGAGCGAACGUUAUUCGGAAUCACUGGGCUUAAAGGGCGCGUAGGCGGGCCGCCAAGUCAGGGGUGAAAGCCCCCAGCUCAACUGGGGAAGUGCCUCUGAUACUGGCGGCCUCGAGGGAGGUAGGGGCGUGCGGAACUUCCGGUGGAGCGGUGAAAUGCGUAGAUAUCGGAAGGAACACCGGUGGCGAAAGUGGCGCGCGGGACCUCAUCUGACGCUGAGGCGCGAAAGCCAGGGGAGCAAACGGG